AACUCUAGAAAAUGUUUACAAUUUAUUACAGUACUUACCUUGGCCUGUUUGAGAAAGAAUGCCUCUCUGAUGAUCCAGAUCUCCAGGAAGCCAUUUCAAGGUCUUUAGAUUCCAGUACAAGUGAGAAUGAUUUAAAGAUGACUUUGGAGAGACUGAUGGAGCAGAUUGCUUCUCAAGUGAAUGAUAACACUGUACGCUUCAAUAUUAUGAGAAGGAAUGUGUGGGAUGGAGCAUCCAGAGCCAUGGGCAGAUCCAAUUUUUCACCGGAAAAGAAGAUAGAUGUCAAUUUUACUGAUGACUAUGGAACAUCUGAGGAUGCUGUGGACAAUGGAGGACCUACGCGGGAGUUCUUCCGACUCUGCCUACAUGAAAUAAAGGACAAAAUUGGCAUCUUUGAGGGUCUAUCCAAUGCUAAAGUUCUCACAUGCAAUUUGAAAGGUACUCAUGGUUAAAG
ensembl:lncRNA